AAGCCCGAGCCUAAAGAGAUGUCUUUCUAUGGUCUGUUGGCCAUUUCAGAACUUGGGCAGUGAAAUGCUCAAUUCAUUAGAAAGAAAUAGCU
rnacentral:snoRNA from 1 species